rnacentral:snoRNA from 1 species
AAGACUAUACUUUCAGGGAUCAUUUCUAUAGUUCGUUACUAGAGAGGUUUCAGUAUUACUCAGCCAUAAAAAAAAAUGAAAUUGAGUUAUCUGUAGUGAGGUGGAUGGACCUAGAGUCUGUCAUACAGA